ACUGGCGGAAUUUCGAGGACAGUAAUGAGCUUGUAAGGCCCACAAGCUGGAGAUUAUCGGAACUUAGCGUUGCGUGCACGCGCGACCUAAAAUGGUUUUGUAAUUUUUUUUUUUUUCGGAAAGUCUCCAUAAGGGACUCGGCACCUGUGUUCUCGCUAUGAUGAAGGCUAUGUUGGUAGGGACAACUGACCUUGUUGAUGAAUACCAACGACUCUGAUGGCGGAGCAUGCUGAGUCACCGAAUGGUGCUGUGGACCUCUCAGGGGCUCUUGCUGGCAUCAUACAGACAGCUCUGGGACAAAGAUGGAUGAAGUGAGGGCCUAUGGAAAAAGCUGGAAUAACCAUGGGUGUGCAGGGUGCUGUGACCAGAAACUACAAGAUGAAAUGUGUUUGAAUUGUCUGGACAACUUUUAAACUACUGGUUGCAUGUUUUCAUUUGGAUGGCUUGCUUGCUUGGGUAUGAGUAUUUUGCCUACAUGACAGAAGAGGGCAAUCAGGUCCCAUUAUAGAUGGUUGUGAGCCACCAUAUGGUUACUGGGAAUUGAGCACCAGAAGAGCAACCAGUGGUCCAAAUUGACCUUGUAAAUGAAGGUGUGCAUGGCUCCCCUUGACUGAAGGCACUGGGCAAGAUUUUAAAAAAAGAUCCUUCAUUUGUGAAUUUCAAGGGCUCCUGUGGCAGAAGUGGGCAUGCAUUUUCACUAUUUGAAUUUCACUUCACUAUUUAAAAGGUGGCUGGCUGGAUGCUCAGAUCAUACUUCGCGUUUUCACAUGAGAAUUUUUAUCACCAAUAAAUAGAAUGUGGAAUUAAA